UACGGAGGAUGCGAGCGUUAUCCGGAUUUAUUGGGUUUAAAGGGUGCGUAGGUGGUCUGUUAAGUCAGUGGUGAAAGCGUGCGGCUCAACCGUACCGAGCCAUUGAAACUGGCGGACUUGAGUGCAAACGAGGUAGGCGGAAUGUGAUGUGUAGCGGUGAAAUGCUUAGAUAUGUCACAGAACCCCGAUUGCGAGGCAGCUUACCAGCAUGCAACUGACACUGAGGCACGAAAGCGUGGGUAUCAAACAG
rnacentral:rRNA from 1 species